UACGUAGGGACCAAGCGUUUGUUCGGAUUUACUGGGCGUAAAGGGCGCGUAGGCGGCGCUGUAAGUCACUUGUGAAAUCUCCGGGCUUAAUUCGGAACGGUCAAGUGAUACUGCAGUGCUAGAGUGCAGAAAGGGCAAUCGGAAUUCUUGGUGUAGCGGUGAAAUGCGUAGAUAUCAAGAGGAACACCUGAGGCGAAGGCGGGUUGCUAGGCUGACACUGACGCUGACAGCGCGAAAGCCAGGGGAGCAAACGGG
rnacentral:rRNA from 1 species